AUUGAACGCUGGCGGCAGGCCUAACACAUGCAAGUCGAGCGGGGUUUUCGGACCUAGCGGCGGACGGGUGAGUAAUGCGUAGGAAGCUACCCGAUAGAGGGGGAUACCAGUUGGAAACGACUGUUAAUACCGCAUAAUGUCUACGGACCAAAGUGUGGGACCUUCGGGCCACAUGCUAUCGGAUGCGCCUACGUGGGAUUAGCUAGUUGGUGAGGUAAUGGCUCACCAAGGCGACGAUCCCUAGCUGGUUUGAGAGGAUGAUCAGCCACACUGGAACUGAGACACGGUCCAGACUCCUACGGGAGGCAGCAGUGGGGAAGAUUGGACAAUGGGCGCAAGCCUGAUCCAGCCAUGCCGCGUGUGUGAAGAAGGCCUUCGGGUUGUAAAGCACUUUCAGUAGGGAGGAAGCGUUGUGUGUUAAUAGUACACAGCGUUGACGUUACCUACAGAAGAAGCACCGGCUAGCUCUGUGCCAGCCGCCGCGGUAAGAC
rnacentral:rRNA from 1 species